UCCUUUAUCCUAUUUUCACGGUCC
rnacentral:siRNA from 1 species